CCAGACUCCUACGGGAGGCAGCAGUGGGGGAUAUUGCACAAUGGGGGGAACCCUGAUGCAGCGACGCCGCGUGGGUGAAGAAGCGCCUCGGCGCGUAAAGCCCUGUCAGCAGGGAAGAAAAUGACGGUACCUGAAGAAGAAGCCCCGGCUAACUACGUGCCAGCAGCCGCGGUAAUACGUAGGGGGCAAGCGUUAUCCGGAUUUACUGGGUGUAAAGGGAGCGUAGACGGUGAAGCAAGUCUGAAGUGAAAGGCGGGGGCUCAACCCCCGGACUGCUUUGGAAACUGUUUGACUGGAGUGCAGGAGAGGUAAGUGGAAUUCCUAGUGUAGCGGUGAAAUGCGUAGAUAUUAGGAGGAACACCAGUGGCGAAGGCGGUCUGCUGGACAGCAACUGACGCUGAGGCGCGAAAGCGUGGGGAGCAAACAGGAUUAGAUACCCUCGUA
rnacentral:rRNA from 1 species